AGCGUUAAUCGGAAUUACUGGGCGUAAAGCGCACGCAGGCGGUCUGUCAAGUCGGAUGUGAAAUCCCCGGGCUCAACCUGGGAACUGCAUUCGAAACUGGCAGGCUAGAGUCUUGUAGAGGGGGGUAGAAUUCCAGGUGUAGCGGUGAAAUGCGUAGAGAUCUGGAGGAAUACCGGUGGCGAAGGCGGCCCCCUGGACAAAGACUGACGCUCAGGUGCGAAAGCGUGGGGAGCAAACAGGAUUAGAUACCCGUGGUAGUCCACGCUGUAAACGAUGUCGAUUUGGAGGUUGUGCCCUUGAGGCGUGGCUUCCGGAGCUAACGCGUUAAAUCGACCGCGUGGGGAGUACCGGCCGCAAGGUUAAAAACUCAAAUAUAUUGACGGGGGCCCCGCCACAAGCGGUGGACCAUUGUGUUUUUAUUUCGAUGCAACGCGAAAGAACCUUCCCUGGUCUUGAACACCCACAGAACUUUCCAGAGAAUGGAUUGGUUCCUUUCGGGAACUGUGAGAACAGGUGCUGCAUGGCUGUCUUCAGCUCGUGUUGUGAAAUGUUGGGUUAAGUCCCCGCAACGGAGGCGCAACCCUUUAUCCUUUUGUUGCCAGCGGUCCGGGCCGGGGAACUCAAAGGAGACUGCCAGUGAUAAACUGGAGGGAAGGGUGGGGAUGACGUCAAGUCAUCAUGGCCCUUACGACCAGGGCUACACACGUGCUACAAUGGCAUAUACAAAGGAGAAGCGCCCUCGCGAGAGCAAGCGGACCUCAUAAAGUAUGUCGUAGUCCGGAUUGGAGUCUGCAACUCGACUCCAUGAAGUCGGAAUCGCUAGUAAUCGUAGAUCAGAAUGCUACGGUGAAUAUGUUCCCGGGCCUUGUACACACCGCCCGUCACACCAUGGGAGUGGGUCGCAAAAGAAGUAGGUAGCUUAACCUUCGGGAGGGCGCUUACCACUUUGUGAUUCAUGACUGGGG
rnacentral:rRNA from 1 species